AUGCUUCAACACCACCAAGAAGAAGACGAAAGGUGCCACAUCUUCCACACAAAGGCCGGCAUCAAUGGGCGUUCCGUGAAAGUCAUCAUCAACAGAGGAAGUUGUCACAACUUAGCAAGUGAAGAGUUAUGUUCCAAGCUGCAAUUGGUCAAGAAGAAGCACCCUCGUCCCUACAAGGUGCAAUGGCUAAGCAACUCCGGCACUAUUCAAGUGGAGCAUACGGUACAAGUUUCUUUCAAGAUCGGCGCCUACGAGGACACCUUGGAGUGCGACGUGGUUCCGAUGUCCGUGUGCCAUCUUCUCUUGGGGAGACCUUGGCAAUUCGACCAUGGAGUCAUCCACAACGGACGAACCAACCACUAUAGCUUCAAGAUGGAAUGCAAGGAAUAUGUGCUUCGACCAAUGUCACCAAGCCAAGUGAUCGCCGAUAAGCAAGCAUCCACCCAUCGUGGAGAUCCUAGUGAGAGAGUGAACCACCAAAAAGAAAGUGAGCGCCACAAGCCAAAAUUGAGCGCCUCUUCGCCAAGAGAGAAAAACUUAGUCCUCCUAGCCACAAAAAGAGAGAUGAGGGAAGUGUGUGAGAACCCAUCGAGCGUCAUCCACUUUGUCCUCCUAUGCAAGGAUGAGGUGACAAAAACUAACAAUCCUAAUCCUCUUCCUCUAGUGUUUUCUAACUUGUUGCAGGAAUUCGAGGAUGUCUUUCCCGAUGAGCUACCUCCUGGUAUUCCUCCUCUACAUGGCAUUGAACAUAGGAUCGACCUCAUCCCCGGCGCUCCUCUUCCAAACAAGGCUCCAUACUGCGUCAACCCCGAAGAAACAGAGGAGAUCCAACGGCAAGUAAAACAACUCACCGACAACGGUCAUGUACGUGAAAGCUUAAGCCCUUGUGCCGUUCCGGUUAUACUUGUACCCAAGCAAGAUGGUACUUUUCGCAUGUGCUCCGAUUGUAGACCCAUCAAUGCUAUCACCAUUCGUUAUAGGCAUCCCAUUCCUCGCCUCGAUGAUAUGCUAGAUGAGCUUAGCGGUGCCACCAUUUUCUCAAAAAUAGAUCUUAAAAGUGGCUAUUAUCAAAUCCGCAUACAAGAAGGUGACGAAUGGAAAACCGCUUUCAAAACCAAAUUUGGUUUGUACAAGUGGUUGGUCAUGCCUAUGGGUUUAUCGGAAGCUCCCGGUACUUUCAUGGGUCUUAUGCAUUUUGUGCUUCGCCCUUACAUUGGAGUGUUUGUUGUGGUCUACUUUGAUGACAUACUUGUUUUUAGCAAAUCCAUCAAGGAUCAUCUAAAACAUGUUAGGGCUGUUUUGCAAACUCUUCGCAAGGAACGUCUUUACGCCAACAUGAAAAAGUGCACUUUUGGAGUUGACAAGCUUGUUUUCUUGGGUUUCGUUGUUUCCUCAAAGGGUGUCCAUGUUGAUGAGUCUAAAAUUGAAGCACUUAACUUGGCCACAACCCACCAAUUUGCAACAAGUGCGUAG
rnacentral:rRNA from 1 species